GUGGGUGUAGCUCAGUGGUAGAGUGCAUGCUUGGUGUAUCUGAUGUCCUGGGUUCAAUCCCCAGCUUCUCCC
rnacentral:tRNA from 1 species